UGGGUUGUAGCACAGUGGUAGAGCACUUGUCUAGCACGUGUGAGUCACUGAGUUUGAUCCUCAGCAACACAU
rfam:Ictidomys tridecemlineatus contig110674, whole genome shotgun sequence.